rnacentral:rRNA from 1 species
GGAUAGAUCAUCGAUGCUGGAAUGCGCUUUGAUCCAAAGCUAUUGUGCCUAAGGAUGGGUCUGCGGUCUAUCAGGUUGUAGUGGGUGUAAUGUACCUACUAGCCUACGACGGAUACGGGUUGUGGGAGCAAGAGCCCGGAGAUGGAUUCUGAGACAUGAAUCCAGGCCCUACGGGGCGCAGCAGGCGCGAAAACUUUACAAUGCGGGGAACCGCGAUAAGGGGACACCGAGUGCCAGCAUCCUAUGUUGGCUGUCCAUAUGUCUAAAUCACAUGUGUUAGCAAGGGCCGGGCAAGACCGGUGCCAGCCGCCGCGGUAACACCGGCGGCCCGAGUGGUGGCCACUAUUAUUGGGUCUAAAGGGUCCGUAGCCGGUUUGGUCAGUCUUCCGGGAAAUCUGACGGCUCAACCGUUAGGCUUUCGGGGGAUACUACCAGGCUUGGGACCGGGAGAGGUAAGAGGUACUACGGGGGUAGGAGUGAAAUCUUGUAAUCCCUGUGGGACCACCAGUGGCGAAGGCGUCUUACCAGAACGGGUCCGACGGUGAGGGACGAAAGCUGGGGGCUCGAACCGGAUUAGAUACCCGGGUAGUCCCAGCUGUAAACUAUGCUCGCUAGGUGUUAGGGACGGUGCGACCGUUUCUGGUGCCGCAGGGAAGCCGUGAAGCGAGCCACCUGGGAAGUACGGUCGCAAGGCUGAAACUUAAAGGAAUUGGCGGGGGAGCACUACAACGGGUGGAGCCUGCGGUUUAAUUGGUUC